GCAAAUUAUGGAAGUGGGAAAUAAAAGGAAGGAGCGAGGAGGAGCAUCUCGUCUUGUUUCGAGGGUUCUCUUGGGAGGAUAAAGGUUGGGGACGAGCAGUAUUUCUGCCUGGGGUUGGGUUUUUGUUGGCCAAUUUCUCUUUCCUUUCGGUUCACGAUUCAUCUCUGUUAGUUGCUGUCGAUCCACGAGCGGAAUCGGAAUGGUUGUUUCGAUCGGGAGGAAUUGAUGUGCUUGUUGGUCGGUAGGGGUUUUAUUUGAUCAGGUUUGGUGCUUUCUAUUGAUCGUUUGUGGAGUCGAGGGUUUGUGGGUUUGUGGUUUGCUUGCUUUGGUAGAUGGACGAGGCCUGGGAGAGGGCCGUGGAGGCGGCGCUAGGAGGUCAGACGAACUCCUCUUCGACGGCGCCGCCGCCGCGGAGCCUUACGCUGGACGGCUCCGUGAAGUGUCUCCACGGCCGGCUACCGCCGCCGGAGAUUCUGGAGAGGUACCAGUCGCUGGAGCACCUCUCAAUCGCUAACGUCGGAGUGUCCUCGCUGGAGAAGUUCCCGCGACUGCGGAAUCUGCAGCGGCUCAUUCUUUCCGACAACCGUAUAGCUGGCGGGCUCGAGUUUUUGGUGGAGUCGGGGCUCGAGUCACUUCGGGAUCUCGAUCUAUCCAACAACCGGAUCCAGUUCCUGGAGGACUUGGCGCCUCUGGCUCAGCUCCGGCUCGUUUCCUUGGACCUCUAUGAAUGCCCUGUCACGAGGAUCAAGGAUUACCGAUCAAGGGUAUUCGGAAUGAUCCGGACUCUGAGAUAUCUUGAUAAGAUGGAUGCCGAUGAGAAUGAGCGACCGGAGUCUGAUGACGAAGAAGAGGAGGAAGACGAAGAAGAUGAGGAUGAGGAAGAGGAUCCUGGGAGCGGCGAGGUCGAUGCUGAUGAUCGAGCUGGGAAAUUAAUGAAUGGUGUCGGUACCGGUGGAGUGGGUGGGAUUGUUGAUGUUUACGAGGAAGAGGAGAGUGAUGCUGAAGAGGAGACUGAGACUGCUAGGAGGAUCGAUGCCAAUGGUGGGGAGCGGAGGUAUAAUGCAUGUAAUGGAUUUCGGGUGGCCCCAGUCAUGGCAGCUGAUGGAGGAGAGGAUGAGGAGGAAGAGGAUGAUGACAUCGAGGAUGAUGAUGAAGAUGAAGACAUUGAUGAUGAUUUGGGGGAGGAGAUUGAUGCGGAGGAAAGGGACGAGGACGAUGUGGUUGAGGUGCAUGAUGUUGGGGACAGUGAAGAAGAGGUGGACGGGGUUGAAGAGGAGGGUGAAGAAGAGGUGGAUGGGGUUGAAGAGGAGGGUGAAGAAGAGGUGGACGACGAGGAUGAAGAUGGGGAUGGGGAUGAAGACCAGGAAGAUGUUGAGGAUGAAGAGGACGAUGGUGAACCUGGAAGCUCAGGCAGAUUGAUGAGUGCAGAAGGGGAGAUUGAUGGCCACGAACAAGGCGAAGGGGAUGAGGAUGAGAAUGGAGAGAUCGGGGAGGAGGACGAGCAAGGAGUGAAUGAAGAUAGAUAUUCUGCAGAAGGUGAUGAUGAUGGCGAAGAUGAGGAUGAGGAUGAUGAUAAUGAUGGGGAAUAUCUUGUGCAGCCGAUUGCUCAACCUGCCACAGCAAGAGUUGAUUUUGAUGCUUGCAACCAAGAAGAUGAAGAUGAGGUUGACGAUGAUGAAGAUGAUCUUCACAGCAACAUUGCCUUGCAGCAGCAGCCUUCUUCCGCUUCCAAUCCCAACAAGAGGAGGAGAGGGGAAGAAGACGACCUGGAUGACGACAGUGUUGAAGACCUGAGGCGCUCCAAGCAUCCUUGAUGAUGAUUCACCAGCAGCCUCGUAGGACAUGUGGCCAGAGUUUUUUCCCUCCAAAACCAAGCACCAAGUUCAAAUGCGAGAGACAUUUGGUCGUUCUUUGGUAUAUGGCUGGGAGUACCAGCUCGAUCUCAACUCGUUUCUCGUUUAUUUCAUCGAACACCUUGUGUGCGCGUGAUGUGUUGUCAUAUGCUUUGUUAGCAGGCGUCGCUGCAGUACGGUUGCGUCGGGCGAGUUGGGAUGAACCUACCUGCAUCAGCGCCCGCAGCAACAAGUUGGUCUUCACAUCGAGUCUGCCUUGGGCGCGGUCGUGUUCAUUUACAUUCAACCAAACUCACCCGGAAGAAGAUGAGCGGUCAGGCUCCACGAACACGGCGCAGGGAAGCGACCUGCGCCUCCCGCCAGCUUCCGGUGCCCUGCUUCGCUCUCCUAACUGCUCCGUGCUAGGCCAAGGACACCGGGGGCAGCGGAGCUGGUUCGACUGCUCUCGCGCCCAGUGAUUGGUAUCUCCCUACACACGCCGCAGACCACGGGCUGCGACCUACCGCCGUGCCCGGCCGGUCGUUCGGGGCGCGGAGGGGUGGAACUACUACCUGUUGGCGGCCAGCAUCGUGCGGUGGUCGCUCUACAUCAAGGCCAAGAAUUCGUCGGGGCCGCCGGCGGGGCCCUACGGGCUACUCGACGCCGCCCUCGCCAUCGUCGCCGUCUUUGGCCCGCAGUGCUUUGUUUGAGCUUUCCAUCUCUUCUCUUUACAAAGCCAUCAUCUCAUCGUUAUUUUAUAUGUUCGAGUAGAAGUCAAAUCAUAUAGUCACUUCGUUA